rnacentral:rRNA from 1 species
GAUGAACGCUGACAGAAUGCUUAACACAUGCAAGUCAACUUGAAUUUGGGUUUAUAACUUAGGUUUGGGUGGCGGACGGGUGAGUAACGCGUAAAGAACUUACCUCACAGCUAGGGACAACAUUUAGAAAUGAAUGCUAAUACCUAAUAUUAUGGUUAUAGGGCAUCCUAUAAUUAUGAAAGCUAAAUGCACUGUGAGAGAGCUUUGCGUCCCAUUAGCUAGUUGGAGAGGUAACAGCUCACCAAGGCGAUGAUGGGUAGCCGGCCUGAGAGGGUGAACGGCCACAAGGGGACUGAGACACGGCCCUUACUCCUACGGGAGGCAGCAGUGGGGAAUAUUGGACAAUGGACCGAGAGUCUGAUCCAGCGAUUCUGUGUGCACGAUGAAGUUUUUCGGAAUGUAAAGUGCUUUCAGUUGGGAAGAAAAAAAUGACGGUACCAACAGAAGAAGUGACGGCUAA